rnacentral:rRNA from 1 species
GAUGAACGCUGACAGAAUGCUUAACACAUGCAAGUCUUUGGCGAAGCUGUGCUUGCACAGCCUAGCCAAGGCGGACGGGUGAGUAACGCGUAAGGAACUUGCCCUGCAGUCAGGGAUAACAGACGGAAACGACUGAUAAGACCCGGUAAAGUCAGGCGGACUCAUGUCCAGCCUGAUGAAAAGAGAUGCUGCAGGAGAGCCUUGCGUCCUAUUAGCUUGUUGGUGGGGUAACGGCCCACCAAGGCGAUGAUAGGUAGCCGGCCUGAGAGGGUGGACGGCCACAAGGGGACUGAGAUACGGCCCUUACUCCUACGGGAGGCAGCAGUGGGGAAUAUUGGACAAUGGGGGCAACCCUGAUCCAGCAAUUCUGUGUGCACGAUGAAGGUUUUCGGAUUGUAAAGUGCUUUCAGCAGGGAAGAAAAAAAUGACGGUACCUGCAGAAGAAGCGACGGCUAAAUACGUG